AACACUACAGAAGCAAACAGACCUGGAGCUGUCACCAGUGACUAAAGAAGAGAAAACUGCGGCAGAGCAAUUAAAAUCUCACAUGCCAGAUUUAUGAAGAAAUGGACUUGGAAAGGAGACUGUAACAGAGAAGGGCUUAAUUCCAGAGAAAUUUAGGAAGAUGUCUUGUUAACACUUGAUGUCUAGAGAUUGGGAGCUGGUGAAAGAGGUUUGGCUUCAAUGACCGGAUAAUAAUGCCUUUCAGGAGAGAGACUACAAGAAGAAGGGCAGAUAAUAUAUGAAUAAAGUUCAGCCAAAAGGAUCAAAUGAGAAUAAAGGGAUUUAAAUAUGUGUACACACACAUACACACACACACUUAGUCUUGUAAUUUCAGGUAAGAAAGUCUCCUAACACUAUUUUGCAUCUGUUUUCUUUUUCUAAGUCAUGAUAAUGUAGAUGUUCUGGUCCAUCAUAAAAGAAUGUUUAUGUACAUUUCAGUCAUUCGAUAUGUGACUUUGGAAAUUAAACUAUAGGCAAAAUAUUUGUAUUAUAUAUUGCAUAUAAUUUCGUUUUGUAAAUGUUGAUUGCACAUGUGGUUAAAUUAUUGUUAAGACUGCUUUUAUGUGACCUGUAGUCUCCCACAAAACCUAAAGUAAUAAGCUGGCUUUUCUGUGAUA